rnacentral:rRNA from 1 species
UACGUAGGGGGCAAGCGUUGUCCGGAUUUAUUGGGCGUAAAGCGCUCGCAGGUGGUCCGAUACGUCGUGCGUGAAAGCCCCCGGCUCAACUGGGGAGUGUCGUGCGAUACGGUCGGACUGGAGGCCAGUAGGGGGAUGCGGAAUUCCGGGUGUAGUGGUGGAAUGCGUAGAGAUCCGGAGGAACACCAGCGGCGAAGGCGGCAUCCUGGACUGGUCCUGACACUCAUGAGCGAAAGCGUGGGGAGCGAGCCGG